AUUCUACUACGACCAGAAAUUUAAUUUAACAAGAGAGAAAUGCUCUGAAUUACAUGUGGAUUGCAAAACUUUCAUUCCCCUCCUAGAAAUGGGAGGCAGAGACAAGCAAAGGAAUUACAAAGCUGCACAGCAAACUGAAGAAAAUGAAAACCGAUUCAACUGAUUACUGAAAAUGCUUUGUAUGUACCAGUGCAAACUGCUGGAUUGAUACCAAUGAAAUGUGCCGUUAUGAAGUAACCUUGGAAAAACACCAUUAUUUUAUCACAGAUGGAGCUGAAUUUUCUGUGAAGGGGACUGUCAAGGAGAGUGGCCUAUAUGAAGUGGACGGUAGAAUGGAAAGGCUACAUCAGCAAAAAAAUCCUGAUAUAAGAAGUGUUCGUAUUUGUGGUGUUAAAAACAAGGCCAUCCAGUCUCGAAUGCAGUGUCUUAACCUGAGAAGAAGGAUUUAUGAAGAGACCUGAAGUUAGAUCUUUAUGACAGGGAAAAUAAAUCUAUAACCUGUUUAAAAAAGAAAGUGAACUAACCCCUCUUUUUCAGGAAAAGAAAAGCAAGACACAACAGUCUGUCGAUAGGAUUCAAAAGAUAGAUAUGGAAUCAUCAUGACCAAAUAUCCAGGAGGGAUUGAUAUCUAUUGGUAGCUUCUCCAGAUAUAUAUUCACAUAUUUCAUCGGUGAGAAAAAUCAAUUGUUUUAAAAAUCAUGUUGCAACAGUCAGCAAAUCAUUGGAUUGGAGAAUCUCAGGUUCUGCAUUCUGAUAAGGGAAACACAUCUUUGGAGAAUAAUACAGAUGGUCCUCACUUAACGGCUCUGAGACUGGAUUUUCCAUUGCUUAGCAAUGACAGUUCCAGUAAAUUCCAGGUGUAAUUAUUAGGAAGAAAAAAAUGCCUUUUCCAGUCCUCUAGUAUUGUACCCGUCCUAUAUGAUUUGUCAAAGGUCACAGAAAGGGACACCAGGAUGACAGCCACAAGCUCUUUCAGGACUCUUGCAAGUAAUAGGUCUGAUGCCUCUUAUUACAACUGCAAAACAUGAUCUCUGUGCCUCUUAAGGCAAGGAUCCGGCUGCACACAUUGGCACAUUAGAAGCAAAAUUAAUAUCAGCUUUGUGUUGCCAUUCCAGCCCCCUACUAACU